AUUUGCUAUAAUUUAUCCAAUCUUGCCAUGUUCUUGAGAAAUGUAUACUCUUGUUGUAUACUCAUAAGUUCUUCGAUGGACAUGGCUAAUUUAAGGACCAGAGCUUUUUCACUUUACAGGACAUUUGUUCAUUAAAUUAUUUUUAAUAAACCAAAAA